rnacentral:rRNA from 1 species
GGUUAAGCGAAUAAGCGUACACGGUGGAUGCCUAGGCAAUCAGAGGCGAUGAAGGACGUGCUAAUCUGCGAAAAGCGUCGGUAAGGUGAUAUGAACCGUUAUACCCGACGAUAUCCGAAUGGGGAAACCCAGUAUCCAAUGGAUACUAUCAUUAACUGAAUCCAUAGGUUAAUGAGGCGAACCGGGAGAACUGAAACAUCUCAGUACCCCGAGGAAAAGAAAUCAACCGAGAUUCCCCUAGUAGCGGCGAGCGAACGGGGAGCAGCCCAGAGUCUUAAUCAAUAGCAGUGUCAGGAGAACGGUCUGGAAAGUCCGGCAGUAAAGGGUGAUAGCCCCGUAUCUGAAGAUGCUGUUAUUGUGAACUCGACGAGUAGGGCGGGACACGUGUUAUCCUGUCUGAAUAUGGGGGGACCAUCCUCCAAGGCUAAAUACUCCUGAUUGACCGAUAGUGAACCAGUACCGUGAGGGAAAGGCGAAAAGAACCCCGGCGAGGGGAGUGAAAAAGAACCUGAAACCGUGUACGUACAAGCAGUAGGAGCCUCUUUAUGGGGUGACUGCGUACCUUUUGUAUAAUGGGUCAGCGACUUAUAUUCUGUAGCAAGGUUAACCGUAUAGGGGAGCCGUAGGGAAACCGAGUCUUAACUGGGCGAAUGAGUUGCAGGGUAUAGACCCGAAACCCGGUGAUCUAUCCAUGGGCAGGUUGAAGGUUGGGUAACACUAACUGGAGGACCGAACCGACUAAUGUUGAAAAAUUAGCGGAUGACUUGUGGAUGGGGGUGAAAGGCCAAUCAAACCGGGAGAUAGCUGGUUCUCCCCGAAAGCUAUUUAGGUAGCGCCUCGUGAACUCAUCUUCGGGGGUAGAGCACUGUUUCGACUAGGGGUCAUCCCGACUUACCAACUCGAUGCAAACUGCGAAUACCGAAGAAUGUUAUCACGGGAGACACACGGCGGGUGCUAACGUCCGUCGUGAAGAGGGAAACAACCCAGACCGCCAGCUAAGGUCCCAAAGUCAUGGUUAAGUGGGAAACGAAGUGGGAAGGCUCAGACAGCCAGGAUGUUGGCUUAGAAGCAGCCAUCAUUUAAAGAAAGCGUAAUAGCUCACUGGUCGAGUCGGCCCGCGCGGAAGAUGUAACGGGGCUAAACCAUGCACCGAAGCUGCGGCAGCGACACAAAGUGUUGUUGGGUAGGGGAGCGUUCUGUAAGCCUGCGAAGGUGUACUGUGAGGUAUGCUGGAGGUAUCAGAAGUGCGAAUGCUGACAUAAGUAACGAUAAUGCGGGUGAAAAACCCGCACGCCGGAAGACCAAGGGUUCCUGUCCAACGUUAAUCGGGGCAGGGUGAGUCGACCCCUAAGGCGAGGCUGAAAAGCGUAGUCGAUGGGAAACGGGUUAAUAUUCCCGUACUGGUGGUAACUGCGAUGGGGGAACGGAGAAGGCUAGGUUGUCCGGGCGACGGUCGUCCCGGUUCAAGCAGGUAGGCAGAGUGAUUAGGCAAAUCCGGUCACUUAAUGCUGAGAUGUGAUGACGAACCACCAAGGUGGUGAAGCAAUUGAUGCCCCGCUUCCAGGAAAAGCCUCUAAGCUUCAGGUUACCAACAAUCGUACCCCAAACCGACACAGGUGGUCAGGUAGAGAAUACUCAGGCGCUUGAGAGAACUCGGGUGAAGGAACUAGGCAAAAUGGUGCCGUAACUUCGGGAGAAGGCACGCUGGCGGUAGGUAAAGUCCCUCGCGGACGGCGCCCAAGCCAGUCGAAGAUACCAGCUGGCUGCAACUGUUUAUUAAAAACACAGCACUGUGCAAACACGAAAGUGGACGUAUACGGUGUGACGCCUGCCCGGUGCUGGAAGGUUAAUUGAUGGGGUCAGCCGUAAGGCGAAGCUCCUGAUCGAAGCCCCAGUAAACGGCGGCCGUAACUAUAACGGUCCUAAGGUAGCGAAAUUCCUUGUCGGGUAAGUUCCGACCUGCACGAAUGGCGUAAUGAUGGCCAGGCUGUCUCCACCCGAGACUCAGUGAAAUUGAACUCGCUGUGAAGAUGCAGUGUACCCGCGGCAAGACGGAAAGACCCCGUGAACCUUUACUAUAGCUUGACACUGAACAUUGAGCCUUGAUGUGUAGGAUAGGUGGGAGGCUUUGAAGUGUGGACGCCAGUCUGCAUGGAGCCAACCUUGAAAUACCACCCUUUAACGUUUGAUGUUCUAACCUAGGCCCAUAAACUGGGUCGGGGACCGUGUCUGGUGGGUAGUUUGACUGGGGCGGUCUCCUCCUAAAGAGUAACGGAGGAGCACGAAGGUUGGCUAAGCAUGGUCGGACAUCAUGCGGUUAGUGCAAAGGCAUAAGCCAGCUUGACUGCGAGAGUGACGGCUCGAGCAGGUACGAAAGUAGGUCUUAGUGAUCCGGUGGUUCUGAAUGGAAGGGCCAUCGCUCAACGGAUAAAAGGUACUCCGGGGAUAACAGGCUGAUACCGCCCAAGAGUUCAUAUCGACGGCGGUGUUUGGCACCUCGAUGUCGGCUCAUCACAUCCUGGGGCUGAAGUAGGUCCCAAGGGUAUGGCUGUUCGCCAUUUAAAGUGGUACGCGAGCUGGGUUUAGAACGUCGUGAGACAGUUCGGUCCCUAUCUGCCGUGGGCGUUGGAAGAUUGAGAGGGGUUGCUCCUAGUACGAGAGGACCGGAGUGAACGCACCACUGGUGUUCGGGUUGUCAUGCCAAUGGCAUUGCCCGGUAGCUAAGUGCGGAAGAGAUAACCGCUGAAAGCAUCUAAGCGGGAAACUUGCCUCGAGAUGAGUCUUCCCUGUCGCUUUAAGUGACCUAAAGGAACGUUUAAGACUAAGACGUUGAUAGGCUGGGUGUGUAAGCGUAGCGAUACGUUGAGCUAACCAGUACUAAUGAACCGUGAGGCUUAACCUG